rnacentral:tRNA from 1 species
GGAGAGAUGGCCGAGCGGCUGAAGGCGCUCGCUUGGAAAGCGAGUAUAUGUUAAUAACAUAUCGGGGGUUCGAAUCCCCCUCUCUCCGCCA